UACGAAGGGGGCUAGCGUUGCUCGGAAUUACUGGGCGUAAAGGGCGCGUAGGCGGACAGUUAAGUCAGAGGUGAAAGCCCAGGGCUCAACCCUGGAAUUGCCUUUGAUACUGGCUGUCUUGAGUGCGGGAGAGGUGUGUGGAACUCCGAGUGUAGAGGUGAAAUUCGUAGAUAUUCGGAAGAACACCAGUGGCGAAGGCGACUUUCUGGGCUGUAACUGACGCUGAGGCGCGAAAGCGUGGGGAGCAAACAGG
rnacentral:rRNA from 1 species